GUUCCAACAAUAUCACAAGCUCUCCCUUCCUCGGCCAUUCCCUUGAGGUCAGUUCCAGCACUAUCACAAGCUCUCCCUUCCUCGGCCAUUCCCUUGAGGUCAGUUCCAACAAUAUCACAAGCUCUCCCUUCCUCGGCCAUUCCCUUGAGGUCAGUUCCAACAAUAUCACAAGCUCUCCCUUCCUCGGCCAUUCCCUUGAGGUCAGUUCCAGCACUAUCACAAGCUCUCCCUUCCUCGGCCAUUCCCUUGAGGUCAGUUCCAGCACUAUCACAAGCUCUCCCUUCCUCGGCCAUUCCCUUGAGGUCAGUUCCAACAAUAUCACAAGCUCUCCCUUCCUCGGCCAUUCCCUUGAGAUCAGUUCCAGCACUAUCACAAGCUCUCCCUUCCUCGGCCAUUCCCUUGAGGUCAGUUCCAGCACUAUCACAAGCUCUCCCUUCCUCGGCCAUUCCCUUGAGGUCAGUUCCAGCACUAUCACAAGCUCUCCCUUCCUCGGCCAUUCCCUUGAGGUCAGUUCCAGCACUAUCACAAGCUCUCCCUUCCUCGGCCAUUCCCUUGAGGUCAGUUCCAGCACUAUCACAAGCUCUCCCUUCCUCGGCCAUUCCCUUGAGGUCAGUUCCAACAAUAUCACAAGCUCUCCCUUCCUCGGCCAUUCCCUUGAGGUCAGUUCCAACAAUAUCACAAGCUCUCCCUUCCUCGGCCAUUCCUUUGAGGUCAGUUCCAACACCAUCAGACAGCCGGGCGCCGUUCCCUGCAAGCUUUCCAUGAACCACUUAUAAGA